UCUGAUUUUUUAAAUCGUUUGAUGCUGAUUGCAAUCUAUAGUUGAUGUCAGUUACCAUUUUAAAGGUUAUGAAUAAAUUUUUGUAUUCCAUGUUUUCAAAAUUAUUUCCUGUUUUCUGAGAUUUUUUUUUUUUUUUUCGGCUUCAAGCAACUCUUCUUCGGCAUAUAUUUUAUUUCAUAAACUGCCUGCGUUCACUGUGUAAAUUUGAUUUGUACAUCAAAAAGAUCAGGUCUGAAUCUCUGAAGGAUGGAGUCUUAAGGAGUAAUAUUUGAACUUGGAAGACUAUAGAUCAUUUGCCUUUCUCUGCCAUUUGUGAAAGGCUUUCUCAACUGCUGAUCAUAGAAGCACAUUUGUGAAUUUUUUAUAGGUCGUAAAAGUAUUUCUUAGAAAGCGGGUGUUAGUAGUUUGUAAUUGUGAUACACUAGAAAAAUAUUAUCCAUUUCUAUACAUCGGCUUGUGGGGUGUUUAUUUA